GUUUCCUUAUCAAAUGGUUAUUUCGAGUAAUGAAGGGAAUUGCAUAAACUCUCUACUUAUAAGCCUUUUACUCUGAUCAUGGCAUUCAGAGUGCUUGGGAAGCAAUGCCAGUGACAUCUGGGAUAAAAGGAACAGUAUGCUACUUGAUUAUUAUAUGUGUCAUUUCUUAGAUUUUAAAUUUCUGAAAUAAGGAUGCAGUUGAAAUUUUUAUUAACAUUUUAAGGUGAUAGUGUCCCUCCUCUUCUUUUUUUAAUCCAAACUAUUGUUACAUAGGUGGUGUUUCUAUAAAACAGAGGCUGUGAGAGAGCUGACUGACCCAGGAAAUCUACAUCAG
rnacentral:lncRNA from 1 species